AGUCGAGCGCAGUGGUUACCUUCGGGUGAUCACCGAGCGGCGGACGGGUUAGUAACGCGUGGGAAUGUACCCUUCUCUACGGAAUAGCCUCGGGAAACUGAGAGUAAUACCGUAUACGCCCUUUUGGGGAAAGAUUUAUCGGAGAAGGAUCAGCCCGCGUAAGAUUAGAUAGUUGGUGGGGUAAUGGCCUACCAAGUCUACGAUCUUUAGCUGGUUUUAGAGGAUGAUCAGCAACACUGGGACUGAGACACGGCCCAGACUCCUACGGGAGGCAGCAGUGGGGAAUCUUGGACAAUGGGCGCAAGCCUGAUCCAGCCAUGCCGCGUGUGUGAUGAAGGCCUUAGGGUCGUAAAGCACUUUCGCUAGGGAUGAUAAUGACAGUACCUAGUAAAGAAGUCCCGGCUAACUCCGUGCCAGCAGCCGCGGUAAUACGGAGGGGACUAGCGUUGUUCGGAAUUACUGGGCGUAAAGCGUACGUAGGCGGAUCAGAAAGUAUGGGGUGAAAUCCCAGGGCUCAACCCUGGAACUGCCUCAUAAACUCCUGGUCUAGAGUUCGAGAGAGGUGAGUGGAAUUCCGAGUGUAGAGGUGAAAUUCGUAGAUAUUCGGAGGAACACCAGUGGCGAAGGCGGCUCACUGGCUCGAUACUGACGCUGAGGUACGAAAGUGUGGGGAGCAAACAGGAUUAGAUACCCUGGUAGUCCACACCGUAAACGAUGAAUGCCAGUCGUCGGGUAGCAUGCUAUUCGGUGACACACCUAACGGAUUAAGCAUUCCGCCUGGGGAGUACGGUCGCAAGAUUAAAACUCAAAGGAAUUGACGGGGG
rnacentral:rRNA from 1 species